rnacentral:rRNA from 1 species
GUGCCAGCAGCCGCGGUAAAACGUAGGACGCGAGCGUUAUCCGGAGUUACUGGGCGUAAAGGGCGGGUAGGCGGUUAAUCAAGUUGGUUGUGAAAUCUCCUGGCUAAACUGGGAGGGUGCAAUCGAAACUGACUAGCUAGAGGACAGCAGAGGGCCGUGGAAUUCCGGGUGGAGUGGUGAAAUGCGUAGAGAUCCGGAGGAACACCAGAGGCGAAAGCGGCGGCCUGGGCUGUAACUGACGCUGAACCGCGAAAGCCAGGGGAGCGAACGGGAUUAGAAACCCCAGUAGUCC